AGCAAAUCUUCAAUCUAAGCGCAUCUUUUAGUUUUCUUUUGUACUGAAACCAGAUAGUUCUCCCCCUUUCUUCUCGCUGCUUUGCUGCUCGCCCACACUCACAAUUCUCCCCCGAACUCUAUCCACCGGCGACGUACGGAGACUGACUCUCUCCCUCUUUCUCACUGGUAUUCCGACACCACCGGUCAAUGGACACUCGAUUACCCUCCUUUCUUUGCCUAUUUCAAGCUCUUUCUCUCUUUUAUCACUGCCUAGAUCGACCCCGCCAUUGUUAACCUUUAAGGUCUCAAUUACAAGGCUGAUUCUGUUAUUUACUUUCAAAGAAUCACUGUUAUGGUCUCUGAUGGCUGGGUUCUAUUUUGCGGUUUUGUUGUGCUUUAAGCACUUGUUCGUUGUUGCCGCGCCUGUUUACUUCGUAUAUUUGUUGCGGCAUUAUUGUAGAGGAGGUUUGUUCAAGGGUUUUGGACGGCUUUUGCUGAUGGGGCUGGCGGUGGUGGUGGUUUUCGUUGGGGCUUUCUGGCCGUUUGUGUGUCACGAUCAGUUGCAGAAGAGGUUAAUAUGCGUUGGAAAAAACCCGGUAAGUUCCACUUGCUAGUCACUCCAAGUUGAGCUAUCAAAAUAGUCACAGAGAGGAGAAUCGGUUUGCAGAAUCCCUGCCCUGUUCCAAUGGCAUAGAAGAGAAAGAUGAUGUUGACACCCGUGCUAUCACUAGUAGAUUGAAGGGAGAUGGGAGUCUUAUUGGUGUGCUGAGCACAUAAGAAACAAAAUCAGACAACCAACGACUCUUAGAAAUGGCUUGUUCUAGGACAUUGUUGGGGUUGAUUUGAUAAGCGUUGUUUCUUGCCAAGCUCCUUAUAAAUGGAUCAACAAAACUGAUGAUGAAUGGGAGUUUAAUACAAACGGCAAAACUGGGGAAACUUUUAAGGUGGUAGCUUGGAUUUUGAUAUCAAGCAUAACAUUUUGAGGGGUCUGGCAUCAUAUAGAUGUAAGAUUAUUGUUGUUCCAUCAACAUGGCAAGCACAAGAGGUACUAAAAUUUCAACCAGGUUGCGUUUUCUUCAGCAAUGGUCCGGGAGAUCCAUCAGUUGUACCAUAUGUUGUUGACAUAUUGAAGGAAUUAAUUAGACAGGCCCGAUAUUGGAGAUCCCUCAGCUGUACCAACUGAUGGGUCAAGCAUUGGGUGGUAAAACUUAUAAAAUGAAAUCUGAUCAUCAUGGAGGAAAUCACCCUGUCCGUAAUAUAAAUGUUGAAAUUAGCGCACAGGUACUAUCUUCAUAAGUGAUUUAUUAUGAUAUGUGUUUCAAGCCACACAAUUUAUCAAUUUGAUUCUUGUCGUCGAGAUCCAUUAUGACCCGUGUUGGUCAAGUCACUAUUGAAUAAGCACAUUCCGUAUUUAGUUUUUUUUGUACAUAUCAAAUAAAACUUGCAAUCAUAUUUUACAUUCAAGCAUUUAAUGUUAAUUAACUUCCAAUGAAUUGUGGAAUUGCAGAGUGUUGAUGAAAAUGAAUGUCAAAAAAAGCGCACUUCCUCAAUGGAAAUCUGUUAAAUGCGCCCAACAAGAGGGUGGGGUCGAGUGUGGCUAUUACGUGAUAAAAUUCAUGCAUGACAUAUUAAAAAGUUGCAAGGAAGUUCAAGAUCUGGAAAAGGUUUUCAAAACUCCAAGGGAGGGGCCCUUUACUAAAAAGGAGUUGGAUGAAGUUCGAGAAAAGUGGGCUUCUUACUUCAACGAUUGUGAACUACCCUCAGUGUAAUAAAUAGAGAAGGCUUGUAGUUAUUCGUG